AACGCAGCAAAGGGCGAUAAGUAAUGUGAAUUGCAGAAUUCAGUGAAUCAUCGAAUCUUUGAACGCACAUUGCGCCCUCUGGUAUUCCAGGGGGGCAUGCCUGUUCGAGCGUCAUUACAACCCUCACACCUAGCGUGGUCUUGGGCUCGCCCUGUAGGGCCUGCCUCAAAGUCAGUGGCGGCGUCAUCUGACCCCUAAGCGUAGUAACAUACACCUCGCUUUUGGGCGUUGGAUGGAGGCCUGCUAUGAACCCCCAAUUUUACAGGUUGACCUCGGAUCAGGUAGGGAUACCCGCUGAACUUAA
rnacentral:rRNA from 1 species